rnacentral:rRNA from 1 species
AGAUUGCUGCUAUUGGGAUUCGAUUAAGCCAUGCAAGUCUUCUAGUAAUAGAGGCGUAAGGCUCAGUAACACGUCGUUAAUCUGCCCUAAGGUCAGGGAUACCUACGGGAAACUGUGGUUAAUACCUGAUAAGGAACUAUGACUGGAAUGUCUUGUUCUCCAAAUUCGAGCCUUAGGAUGAGGCGGCGGCCGAUUAGGUUGUUGGCGGUGUAAUGGACCACCAAGCCGAAGAUCGGUACGGGCCAUGAAAGUGGUAGCCCGGAGAGGGACACUGAGAUACUGGUCCCAGCCCUACGGGGUGCAGCAGGCGCGAAACCUUUACAAUGCACGCAAGUGUGAUAAGGGGAUCCCAAGUGCUCAAGCAUUGCUUGGGCUUUUGUCAUGUGUAAAUAGCAUGGCGAAUAAGUGGUGGGAAAGACUGGUGCCAGCCGCCGCGGUAACACCAGCGCCACAAGUGGCAAUCGCGUUUAUUGGGCCUAAAGCGUCCGUAGCAGGUUUUGUAAAUCUCUUGUGAAAUUGCCGGGCUUAACUUGGCAGAGUGCAGGAGACACUGCAAGACUAGAGACCGGGAGGGGUUAGAAGUAUUCCUUAGGGAGCGGUAAAAUGCUAUAAUCUAAGGAGGACUACCUGUGGCGAAGGCGUCUAACUAGAACGGAUCUGACUGUGAGGGACGAAAGCUAGGGGAGCGAACCGGAUUAGAUACCCGAGUAGUCCUAGCCGUAAACGCUGUGAGCUAGGUGUCGCGUAUUCUACGUGAAUGCGCGGUGUCGAAAGGAAGCUAUUAGGCUCACCGCCUGGGAAGUACGGUCGCAAGACUGAAACUUUAAGGAAUUGGCGGGGGCGCACCACAAGGGGUGCGGCGUGCGGUUUAAUCCAACUCAACGCGGAGAACCUUACUAGAAGCGACGGCAGUAUGAAGGUCAUGUUGAAGACAUUACCUGACGAGCCGAGAGGAGGUGCAUGGCCGCCGUCAGCUCGUGCUAUAAAGUGUCCAGUUAAGUCUGGCAACGAGCGAGACCUAUAUCUGCAAUUGCUACCGGCACUACGGUGGACCGGGCACAUUGCAGGGACUGCCUUGGAAACAAGGAGGAAGGUGUAGGCUACGGCAGGUCUGUAUGCCCCGAAUCUUCUAGGCUACACGCGCGCAACAAUGGUGGGGACAAUGGGAUGCAACUCCGAAAGGAGAAGCUAAACCUCUAAACCCUAUCUUAGUCCAGAUUGAGGAUUGCAACUCAUCCUCAUGACGUCGGAAUCCCUAGUAAUCGGGUUUCAUCAUAGCCCGGUGAUAUGUGCCUGCGCCUUGCACUCACCGCCC